UAAUUGAAGAGUUUGAUCAUGGCUCAGAUUGAACGCUGGCGGCAGGCCUAACACAUGCAAGUCGAGCGGUAACAGGAGAAAGCUUGCUUUCUUGCUGACGAGCGGCGGACGGGUGAGUAAUGUAUGGGGAUCUGCCCGAUAGAGGGGGGAUAACUACUGGAAACGGUGGCUAAUACCGCAUAAUGUCUA
rnacentral:rRNA from 1 species